UUGGAGCCUCCUUAAUGCAGAAGCCCUUU
rnacentral:piRNA from 1 species